CCUAAAACAUCAACUUUAAACCCUAAACCCUAAACCUUCAACUCUAAACCCUAAACCCUAAAACCCUAGAAUUGACGUUUUAGGGAUUAGAUUUGAAGGUUUAGGUUUUAAGGGUUUAGGGUUUACGUUUAGGGUUUAGAGUUGAUAUUUAAGGAUUUAGAUUUGAAGGUUUAGGGUUUUAGGGUUUAAGGUUCGAAUUUCAGAAAAUAUAGGGUUUAGGGUUUAGGGUUUAAGUUUAGGGUUUAGAGUUUAUGUUUUAAGAUUUAGAUUUAAAAGUUUAGGAUUUAGGGUUUAGAGUUGAUGUUUCGGAGUUUAGGAUUUAGAGUUGAUGUUUCAUGGUUUAGGGUUUAGAAUUGAUGAUUUAGGGUUUAGAGUUGAUGUUUUAAGUUUAGAUUUAAGAUUUAGGGUUUAGUGUUUACAUUUAAUGUUUUAGGGUUUAGAUUUGAAGGUUUCGGGUUUAGGGUUUAAAGUUGAUGUUUCAGGGUUUAGGGUUUAGAGUUGAUGUUUCAUGGUUUAGGGUUUAGAGUUGAUGUUUUAAAUUUAGAUUAGUUAACUUUAUGUUUUUUUUGUCAAAGUUAAUUCAAAGGUUAUAAAUGUCUUUUACCCU
rnacentral:lncRNA from 1 species